rnacentral:rRNA from 1 species
AACGAACGCUGGCGGCAGGCCUAACACAUGCAAGUCGAACGCAGUAGCAAUACUGAGUGGCGCACGGGUGAGUAACGCGUGGGAACGUGCCCUUGGGUACGGAAUAACGUCGGGAAACUGACGCUAAUACCGUAUGAUGUCUUCGGACCAAAGAUUUAUCGCCCAGGGAUCGGCCCGCGUCAGAUUAGCUAGUUGGUGGGGUAAUGGCCUACCAAGGCUCCGAUCUGUAGCUGGUCUGAGAGGAUGAUCAGCCACACUGAAACUGAGACACGGUUCAGACUCCUACGGGAGGCAGCAGUGGGGAAUAUUGGACAAUGGGGGAAACCCUGAUCCAGCCAUGCCGCGUGAGUGAUGAAGGCCUUAGGGUUGUAAAGCUCUUUUGCCAGGGAAGAUGAUGACGGUACCUGGAGAAUAAGCACCGGCUAACUUCGUG